rnacentral:lncRNA from 1 species
CACCAUUACUUAGCUACGAAGCUCCUCCCUUUUCCUCCCUCUAUAUAUACAUUCGAUCCAUCAACUUCAUCAUCCACAUUGGUGCAACUUCCUCCAGCGAUUUGAGAAAGAGAGAGAGGGAGAAAGAGAAAGAGAGAGAAAGAGAUCAUGCCGCCUCCGCCGUGGGGACCACCGCCGGGCCCACACGGGCCUCCGGGGCCGUUCGGGUUCCUGUGCAGCGGGUUAUGUCGCCUCGUCUCCGCCUGGUGAGUUGGUCGACAUCUUCUGUUCAUAUUUCGAGUAGUAAAUUAAGGCGGCAUUGCAUUUAUUUCGAUUCACGACUAAUGUUGAAAGCAAAGGUGAGAAAUGAAUAGGAAAUUCAAUUCAAUAUAAAUGAAUAGUUAUUAUCUCGAGUAUGUAAAAAUUAAUUUGUGGGAAUUUCCUGUCAUAUAUUUAUGGAAUGAUAUUUCUUGCUAUCUAUUUCUAGAAGCAAGUAACCGUAAUUUCACAAUUGAUUUUGACUUGGAUUGUGAUUUUAUUUCGUUCUUCUGUUGGCAGUGCGUACCUGCUGUGUUGCUGCUGCCUCUUCGAGAGCUG